rnacentral:misc_RNA from 1 species
GAUGAAGAACGUAGCGAAAUGCGAUAAGUAAUGUGAAUCGCAGAAUUCAGUGAAUCAUCGAAUCUUUGAACGCACAUUGCGCCCGUCAGUAUUCUGGCGGGCAUGCCUGUUCGAGCGUCAUUACGCCCCUCAAGUCCCCUGUGGACUUGGUGUUGGGGAUCGGCGAGGCUGGUUUUCCAGCACAGCCGUCCCUUAAAUUAAUUGGCGGUCUCGCCGUGGCCCUCCUCUGCGCAGUAGUAAAACACUCGCAACAGGAGCCCGGCGCGGUCCACUGCCGUAAAACCCCCCAACUUUUUAUAGUUGACCUCGAAUCAGGUAGGACUACCCGCUGAACUUAAGCAUAUCAAUAAGCGGAGGA